AAUUCGUAAUACUCGAGAUAGCGAAGGCCGCCGUGGAUGAGCUUGCUCGACCACGACGACGUGCCGCUGGCGAGAUCAUUCAUCUCGCACAGGAACACGGAAUUGCCCCGGCCCGCGGCGUCGCGGGCGAUGCCGCAGCCGUUAAUGCCUCCGCCGAUGAUUGCGAGGUCGAAAACCUUGUCCAACGUCUCUCCCCGGCGAUCGCUAUUUUCACUUAUAGCGAUUUCGCUUUCGUAUUGGAUUAAAUCACAACUUAAAACGAAAGCAAGCAGCGUGAUGAAUGCGCAGGCAAACGCGUCAGCGCUCGGGAAAAGUGAAGAUAUGUGAGGGAGUUACAGCUCCGGCGUCGACAGACAAGCAAGAAGCGAGCGCCAACUGUCCACAAGCCGAACCAGCAAGCGGCGGAAUCGGCUGAAGGCCGUCAGGCCACGUCAGCGGGCUUGUCGGGCAUCGCCGCGAUGACCUCGAUGCCCCGGCUAUUGCAAAUCGCCUGAAGCCCGGCGGGCAACGGCAGGUCGGUGACGAAGGUAUGGAUCUGGCUGAGAUGCGCGAUGCGAACCGGCGCGUUGCGGCUGAGCUUGGUGCUGUCGGCCACC
rnacentral:misc_RNA from 1 species